CACGUAGCUUUACCAUAUCGGGGUUAUUCACUCGUCCUUUAAGAUACGAUCCGUAUCGUUGGACGUCUCGACGUCAUCCGGCUCGUCGAUUUCGGUCUCAUCCUCGUCGUCACCAUCCUCCUCAUCUUCAUCCUCUUCGUCACUUCGU